GAUGAACGCUGGCGGCGUGCUUAACACAUGCAAGUCGAACGAAGCACAUGUAGCGGACUGGAGAGCUUGCUCAAAGGGAAGCAGCAUGUGACUGAGUGGCGGACGGGUGAGUAACGCGUGGAUAACCUACCUCAUACAGGGGGAUAACAGUUGGAAACGACUGUUAAUACCGCAUAAGCGCACGGGACUGCAUGGUUCUGUGUGAAAAACUCCGGUGGUAUGAGAUGGGUCCGCGUCUGAUUAGCUAGUUGGCAGGGUAACGGCCUACCAAGGCGACGAUCAGUAGCCGGCCUGAGAGGGUGUACGGCCACAUUGGGACUGAGACACGGCCCAA
rnacentral:rRNA from 1 species